rnacentral:lncRNA from 1 species
CCAUGUCCGAAACACUAGGGGCCGCGGGGCGACGGAGGCGACUCUGCGGCUACUCGGCGAUUCGGGGCAUGGUCCCCGAGAGGGAGGACGAUCAGCUGAGGCGUCCACCUGUGGUGUCCUCCCAAAAAAGCGCUUGCACACUCCCUGAUAAAGGCGCCGCGCGCGCCCUUCCGGAGCCCCAACGACGCCACAGGCUGGUCGCGAGGGAAUACGCCCCUCUUGGCUGUCAGCAAUAGGAUUUUACAGCCAAACUGCUGCCUUUGCUUGCGGCAUUCUGUCUUGUUUACCGAAGCAGCUCUGAGCCUUUUUAGGGUCCUGAAGCGCUUUGAGUAACGGAUGAAAGCUAUGGAACUCCCAAAUACGCGCAAAUACCUAACCAUAAAAAUGUGGAUAAAACCUCGUAUGCAUCAACUACCUCUCUUUCAAGAUGGAAUUUUCAGAACACAUGGUCUGGGAUUGGAGCUGGAGCUUGGAAAUAUUGAGUGGGUGAGAAAGACUUCAUUGUUUUGUGACAGAUUGUUGGGAAAACAGCCCACUUCUGCCUGAAGAUCCAAGCCCAAGGCCUUCCUGGCCCCAGGGAUUUUGGGAUUCUUAAGAGCAAAAGAAGGAAAGAAAACAUGAGAGACUUUGGUACUGGGUACCAGCAUGAAAAGAGAAGGACUGGUAAAAAACAUCUCUUGGGAGCUUCUGCUGUGAUGCGAGAGGUAAGUCCUGCCAUCCCAGGGCACACUUCAUAAAAGAGGGCAGAUCCAAAGAUUGCAGAAGCCAGAAGAGACACUGCAUCCUUCCUGGUUAGGCCUGGUUAUGCCAGCUUCCUGGACUCUGCUGGCUGGUUGCCUCAAUCCAUGCCUCAGAUUGGGUGGAGUCUACAGAUUGAGGGCAAAUCCCACCUCCUCCCAACCCCCACCACUAGGCCUAUCUGCAAGACAGAAAAGAGCAGCAAGAAAUCUCAGGGAUUUUCUUUGAUUACUCAGAGGGAAAUAGUUUCCAUACUCAGAGACUGAUAGGCUGUCAAUAACAUUUGCUUUGUGAAUUUUCACCCAGCUACUUCUGGAUGAGAUAAUCACCUUUGCAGCUAAAGAAAAUCUUAGCUCAUUUUCUUCUUGGGGUGAUGGUAUAAGAGUUGAUAAACAAUUUAUAAGUAUUUAUCAUAUGGCAUAUUUAACAAAAUAUCUUUGUGAUCCAUAAAGCAAGGCAUAAAUUACAUUUGAAAGUGCAUUCCAUUAAACAAGAACAUUAGAGGGAAAGAGAGAGAGACACUUUGGACCUUGAUCUGUUCCAAUGACAUAGAAACUUGCUUUACAGAUUGGCUUUCUCCUAGUGCACUAUUGCAAAAUUAGAGCUAUACUAGAAACACCCUUAG